GACGGAAGGUGCAAGCGUUGCUCGGAAUCACUGGGCGUAAAGGGUGCGUAGGCGGCUUGGUGGGUCUGGUGUGAAAGCCCCGGGCUCAGCCCGGGAAGGGCGCUAGAAACUGCCGAGCUCGAGUGCCGGAGGGGAGAGUGGAAUUCCUGGUGUAGCGGUGAAAUGCGCAGAUAUCAGGAGGAAUACCGGUGGCGAAAGCGACUCUCUGGACGGCAACUGACGCUGAGGCACGAAAGCGUGGGGAGCAAACAGG
rnacentral:rRNA from 1 species